rnacentral:rRNA from 1 species
UACGAGAGGCCCAAACGUUAUUCGGAAUUACUGGGCUUAAAGAGUUCGUAGGCGGCAUUGCAAGUAGGGUGUGAAAGCCCUCGGCUCAACCGAGGAAUUGCGCUCUAAACUGCAGUGCUCGAGGAAGCUAGAGGUGAGCAGAACAGAUGGUGGAGCGGUGAAAUGCGUUGAUAUCAUCUGGAAUACCGGAGGCGAAGUCGGCUCACUGGGGCUUUUCUGACGCUGAGGAACGAAAGCCAGGGUAUCGAUCGGG